AGAAUGUGGGUGAUAAGGUCCAUAUUCGAAAGGGAAACAGCCCAGACCACCAGCUAAGGUCCCAAAAUAUAUGUUAAGUGGAAAAGGAUGUGGCGUUGCCCAGACAACUAGGAUGUUGGCUUAGAAGCAGCCAUCAUUUAAAGAGUGCGUAAUAGCUCACUAGUCGAGUGACACUGCGCCGAAAAUGUACCGGGGCUAAACAUAUUACCGAAGCUGUGGAUUGUCCUUUGGACAAUGGUAGGAGAGCGUUCUAAGGGCGUUGAAGCAUGAUCGCAAGGACAUGUGGAGCGCUUAGAAGUGAGAAUGCCGGUGUGAGUAGCGAAAGACGGGUGAGAAUCCCGUCCACCGAUUGACUAAGGUUUCCAGAGGAAGGCUCGUCCGCUCUGGGUUAGUCGGGUCCUAAGCUGAGGCCGACAGGCGUAGGCGAUGGAUAACAGGUUGAUAUUCCUGUACCACCAUUAUUCGUUUUAAGCGAUGGGGGGACGCAGUAGGAUAGGCGAAGCGUGCUGUUGGAGUGCACGUCCAAGCAGUGAGAUUGAGUGUUAGGCAAAUCCGGCACUCUUAAGAUUGAGCUGUGAUGGGGAGAGGAACUUGUUCCUCGAGUCGUUGAUUUCACACUGCCGAGAAAAGCCUCUAGCUAGAAUAACGGUGCCCGUACCGCAAACCGACACAGGUAGUCAAGAUGAGAAUUCUAAGGUGAGCGAGCGAACUCUCGUUAAGGAACUCGGCAAAAUGACCCCGUAACUUCGGGAGAAGGGGUGCUCUUUGAGGUUCACGCUUCGAAGAGCCGCAGUGAAUAGGCCCAAGCGACUGUUUAUCAAAAACACAGGUCUCUGCUAAACCGUAAGGUGACGUAUAGGGGCUGACGCCUGCCCGGUGCUGGAAGGUUAAGAGGAGUGGUUAGCGCAAGCGAAGCUACGAAUCGAAGCCCCAGUAAACGGCGGCCGUAACUAUAACGGUCCUAAGGUAGCGAAAUUCCUUGUCGGGUAAGUUCCGACCCGCACGAAAGGCGUAACGAUUUGGGCACUGUCUCAACGAGAGACUCGGUGAAAUCAUAGUACCGGUGAAGAUGCCGGUUACCCGCGACAGGACGGAAAGACCCCGUGGAGCUUUACUGUAGCCUGAUAUUGAAAUUCGGUACAGUUUGUACAGGAUAGGUAGGAGCCUUAGAAGCGUGAGCGCUAGCUUACGUGGAGGCAUUGGUGGGAUACUACCCUAAUUGUAUUGGAUUUCUAACCCGCAGCACUUAUCGUGCUGGGAGACAGUGUCAGGCGGGCAGUUUGACUGGGGCGGUCGCCUCCUAAAGAGUAACGGAGGCGCUCAAAGGUUCCCUCAGAAUGGUUGGAAAUCAUUCAUAGAGUGUAAAGGCAUAAGGGAGCUUGACUGCGAGACCUACAAGUCGAGCAGGGUCGAAAGACGGACUUAGUGAUCCGGUGGUUCCGCAUGGAAGGGCCAUCGCUCAACGGAUAAAAGCUACCCCGGGGAUAACAGGCUUAUCUCCCCCAAGAGUUCACAUCGACGGGGAGGUUUGGCACCUCGAUGUCGGCUCAUCGCAUCCUGGGGCUGUAGUCGGUCCCAAGGGUUGGGCUGUUCGCCCAUUAAAGCGGUACGCGAGCUGGGUUCAGAACGUCGUGAGACAGUUCGGUCCCUAUCCGUCGUGGGCGUAGGAAAUUUGAGAGGAGCUGUCCUUAGUACGAGAGGACCGGGAUGGACAUACCUCUGGUGUACCAGUUGUCGUGCCAACGGCAUAGCUGGGUAGCUAUGUAUGGACGGGAUAAGUGCUGAAAGCAUCUAAGCAUGAAGCCCCCCUCGAGAUGAGAUUUCCCAACUUC
rnacentral:rRNA from 1 species